rnacentral:rRNA from 1 species
GUUCAAGCGGUAGGAGAGCGUCGUAACCGGGCUGAAGUCGUACCGUAAGGAGCGGUGGACUGGUUACGAGUGAGAAUGUUGGCAUCAGUAGCGAGAUGUGGGUGAGAAUCCCACAGGCCGAAAACCUAAGGUUUCCUCAGGAAGGUUCGUCCGCUGAGGGUUAGUCGGGACCUAAGCCGAGGCCGAAAGGCGUAGGUGAUGGACAACUGGUUGAUAUUCCAGUACCACUACCAUCGUUAUUAUCGAUGGCGUGACGCAGGAGGAUAGUGUGUGCUAGCUAUUGGAUGCUAGUCUAAGCGUUUAGGCAGUGAGAGUAGGCAAAUCCGCUCUCAUAAUGCUGAGGCGUGAUGGGGAAGGUUCUACGGAACCGAAGUACAUGAUUCCACGCUGCCAAGAAAAGCGUCUAGAGAGAGAAGUAGUGCCCGUACCGCAAACCGACACAGGUAGGUGAGGAGAGAAUCCUAAGGCCGGCGGAAGAAUUACAGUUAAGGAACUCGGCAAAUUGACCCCGUAAGUUCGCGAGAAGGGGUGCCUACGAGAGUAGGCCGCAGAGAAUAGGCCCAAGCAACUGUUUAGCAAAAACACAGGUCUCUGCUAAAGCGUAAGCUGAUGUAUAGGGGCUGACGCCUGCCCGGUGCUGGAAGGUUAAGGGGAACACUUAGCGCAAGCGAAGGUGUGAACUUAAGCCCCAGUAAACGGCGGCCGUAACUAUAACGGUCCUAAGGUAGCGAAAUUCCUUGUCAGGUAAGUUCUGACCCGCACGAAUGGCGUAAUGACUUGGGCACUGUCUCAACUGUAAAUCCGGCGAAGUUGUAGUGCGAGUGAAGAUGCUCGCUACCCGCGAUUGGACGGAAAGACCCCGUAGAGCUUUACUGUAGCUUAGCAUUGAGUUUUGGUAUUGUCUGUACAGGAUAGGUGGGAGACUAGGAAACCAGGGCGUCAGCCUUGGUGGAGUCAACCUUGGGAUACCACCCUGACAGUACUGAAAUUCUAACUGGCGGCCAUGAAUCUGGUCACAGGACAUUGUUAGGUGGGCAGUUUGACUGGGGCGGUCGCCUCCUAAAAAGUAACGGAGGCGCCCAAAGGUUCCCUCAGAACGGUCGGAAAUCGUUCGAAGAGUGCAAAGGCAGAAGGGAGCCUGACUGCGACACCCACAAGUGGAGCAGGGACGAAAGUCGGGCUUAGUGAUCCGGUGGUACCUCGUGGGAGGGCCAUCGCUCAACGGAUAAAAGCUACCUCGGGGAUAACAGGCUGAUCUCCCCCAAGAGUCCACAUCGACGGGGAGGUUUGGCACCUCGAUGUCGGCUCGUCGCAUCCUGGGGCUGAAGUAGGUCCCAAGGGUUGGGCUGUUCGCCCAUUAAAGCGGCACGCGAGCUGGGUUCAGAACGUCGUGAGACAGUUCGGUCCCUAUCCGUCGCGGGCGUAGGAAAUUUGAGAGGAGCUGUCCUUAGUACGAGAGGACCGGGAUGGACUGACCUCUGGUGUACCAGUUGUUCCGCCAGGAGCACAGCUGGGUAGCUAAGUCGGGAAUGGAUAAACGCUGAAAGCAUCUAAGCGUGAAGCCAACCUCAAGAUGAGAUUUCCCAUAGCGUAAGCUAGUAAGAUCCCUUGAAGAACACAAGGUUGAUAGGUCGGGGGUGUAAGCAUGGUAACAUGUUCAGCUGACCGAUACUAAUAGAUCGAGGGCUUGACCAAAU